CUCAUACUCUAUAAAUGACUUCAAUGUGGCCUGUUAGAGAGACAGCCUGAAACAUGUGUGGGAGCCACCUGGUCCCUAGGAACAUGGUGAUCAGACCCCCAAGUGAGCAUCCUGGGGCCACGGCACCUCCUGUCUACCAACUUUAUGAAAAGCACUACGAAGAGUUUGUGAAUAGUUCUAAUAUUGUACCUGGACUGCUUCAGGUCUCUGGCAUUUAGUCAGUUAGCAUUUUCUACAGUCUAUUCAGAUGGUCUUCCUUUUAUUUCUUAUUUUUGCAGCUUUUACUUUUGGCCGAGGAACUGCCACAAGCCACUGAACUUGGAAUCAAUCCUGCCUCUGCCUUAUGCUAUGUGAGUGACCACAGCUGCUCACUUCACCUCUCUGAAACUCACCAUCCCACUGACCUUCAGGAGCUUUGAGGACGAAGCCAGGUGAUGCAAGUUAAAGUAAACUGGUUGUAUCUCAAGCCAGGAUCCUUCCCCAGAUUUGACCUCCCUUCGACUCCUUAGAAGGACUUGGUCGUGCCCCGGUCACAGUGGGGCCCAGGCUUCUGAGCCAGGUGCUGAGGAGCACGUGUGAAUAAAGCCUGUCUGAUGCCUGCCACCUGGUGACUCUUCGAAACACUAACAAAACAAAACAUGCACGUGCGAGACCCCAGUCACAAAUUCGGAGUCAUGCAGAUAUACACCAAAACCAGCGCAAUAAACACAGUGCUAUCUGAGCCAGUAGCUGAAGCCAGUAUGUAAGUCAGACUUUGGGAAGUGCCAUCCGUUAUUCGCUGUGUUGGGGGAGAAGGCCUCUGAACCCAAGCUGCAAGGCAAGUGUCCGCCCUCCCCCUGCCUCUCCCUCCUAGGACUGCUCUCCCAUGAGCAGCCUGGAGACACCACCCCCUUCUCCCCUCAUCCCCCACAGCACAAGCUUCUUCCUCCUCCGGGGUCCGGGCUCUAGGGGUCUGAAGAGAACAUUUCUCACACUGUACCCUUUUCCUGCUUCCGCUGGAGGAUGGGGCUUCUCACCUAAAAUAGAUGCAGACCCACCCAGCGAGAGGAAGAGGGGCUGACAGCUUGGGGGGAGAAAUCAGA